rnacentral:rRNA from 1 species
GACGCACCGUGCGAACGUUGUUCGGAAUCACUGGGCUUAAAGGGCGCGUAGGCGGGCCUUCAAGUCCGGGGUGAAAUCCUCCAGCCUAACUGGAGAAGAGCCUCGGAGACUGAGGGCCUCGAGGGAGGUAGGGGCAAGCGGAACUAUGGGUGGAGCGGUGAAAUGCAUUGAUAUCCAUAGGAACUCCGGUGGCGAAGGCGGCUUGCUGGACCUCUUCUGACGCUGAGGCGCGAAAGCCAGGGGAGCAAACGGG